AGAGUUUGAUCCUGGCUCAGGAUGAACGCUGGCGGCGUGCCUAACACAUGCAAGUUGAGCGAUCUUCUUCGGAAGAGAGCGGCGGACGGGUGAGUAACGCGUGGGUAACCUGCCCUGUACACACGGAUAACAUACCGAAAGGUAUGCUAAUACGAGAUAAUAUACUUUUAUCGCAUGGUAGAAGUAUCAAAGCUUUUGCGGUACAGGAUGGACCCGCGUCUGAUUAGCUAGUUGGUAAGGUAACGGCUUACCAAGGCGACGAUCAGUAGCCGACCUGAGAGGGUGAUCGGCCACAUUGGAACUGAGACACGGUCCAAACUCCUACGGGAGGCAGCAGUGGGGAAUAUUGCACAAUGGGCGAAAGCCUGAUGCAGCAACGCCGCGUGAGCGAUGAAGGCCUUCGGGUCGUAAAGCUCUGUCCUCAAGGAAGAUAAUGACGGUACUUGAGGAGGAAGCCCCGGCUAACUACGUGCCAGCAGCCGCGGUAAUACGUAGGGGGCUAGCGUUAUCCGGAAUUACUGGGCGUAAAGGGUGCGUAGGUGGUUUCUUAAGUCAGAGGUGAAAGGCUACGGCUCAACCGUAGUAAGCCUUUGAAACUGGGAAACUUGAGUGCAGGAGAGGAGAGUGGAAUUCCUAGUGUAGCGGUGAAAUGCGUAGAUAUUAGGAGGAACACCAGUGGCGAAGGCGGCUUGCUGGACGACAACUGACGCUGAGGCGCGAAAGCGUGGGGAGCAAACAGGAUUAGAUACCCUGGUAGUCCACGCUGUAAACGAUGAAUACUAGGUGUGGGGAGACUGACCCCCUCCGUGCCGCAGUUAACACAAUAAGUAUUCCACCUGGGGAGUACGACCGCAAGGUUGAAACUCAAAGGAAUUGACGGGGGCCCGCACAAGCAGUGGAUUAUGUGGUUUAAUUCGACGCAACGCGAAGAACCUUACCAGGACUUGACAUCCAACUAACGAAGUAGAGAUACAUUAGGUGCCCUUCGGGGAAAGUUGAGACAGGUGGUGCAUGGUUGUCGUCAGCUCGUGUCGUGAGAUGUUGGGUUAAGUCCCGCAACGAGCGCAACCCCUAUUGUUAGUUGCUACGAAAGAGCACUCUAGCGAGACUGCCGUUGACAAAACGGAGGAAGGCGGGGACGACGUCAAAUCAUCAUGCCCCUUAUGUCCUGGGCUACACACGUAAUACAAUGGUGGCCAACAGAGGGAAGCAAAGCCGUGAGGUGGAGCAAAUCCCUAAAAGCCAUCUCAGUUCGGAUUGCAGGCUGCAACUCGCCUGCAUGAAGCUGGAAUUGCUAGUAAUCGCGGAUCAGCAUGCCGCGGUGAAUACGUUCCCGGGCCUUGCACACACCGCCCGUCA
rnacentral:rRNA from 1 species